rnacentral:rRNA from 1 species
CGAGUCCGAGUCUCCACGGAGACGAAGUGGCGGUCAUCCAGCUUCCUAGAAAAGCUCUAACCACGUUAAUCUUUAGUUGCCUGUACCCGAAACCGACACAGGUAGGGGGGUAGAGAAUACCAAGGGGCGCGAGAUAACUCUCUCUAAGGAACUCGGCAAAAUGACCCCGUAACUUCGGGAGAAGGGGUACCACUGAGAAGUGGUCGCAGUGAAGAGGCCCAGGCGACUGUUUACCAAAAACACAGGUCUCCGCCAAGUCGCAAGACGAAGUAUGGGGGCUGACGCCUGCCCAGUGCCGGAAGGUUAAGGAAGUGGGUUAGGGAUUCGUCCCGAAGCUGACGACUGAAGCCCCGGUGAACGGCGGCCGUAACUAUAACGGUCCUAAGGUAGCGAAAUUCCUUGUCGGGUAAGUUCCGACCCGCACGAAAGGCGUAACGAUCUGGGCGCUGUCUCGGAGAGAGGCUCGGCGAAAUAGGAAUGUCUGUGAAGAUACGGACUACCUGCACCUGGACAGAAAGACCCUAUGAAGCUUUACUGUAGCUUGGAAUUGGGUUCGGGCUUGGUUUGCGCAGGAUAGGUGGGAGGCGAAGAAGAUUUGCUUGUGGGUGAAUCUGAGCCAACGGUGAGAUACCACUCUAACCAGGCUAGAAUUCUAACUUCAACCCGUCAACCGGGGGAAGGACAGUUUCAGGUGGGCAGUUUGACUGGGGCGGUCGCCUCCUAAAAGAUAACGGAGGCGCACAAAGGUUCCCUCAGGCUGGUUGGAAAUCAGCCAACGAGUGCAAAGGCAGAAGGGAGCUUGACUGCGAGACCUACAAGUCAAGCAGGGUGGAAACACGGUCUUAGUGAUCCGACGGCACCGAGUGGAAGGGCCGUCGCUCAACGGAUAAAAGUUACUCUAGGAUAACAGGCUGAUCUCCCCCAAGAGUUCACAUCGACGGGGAGGUUUGGCACCUCGAUGUCGGCUCAUCGCAACCUGGGGCGGAAGUACGUCCCAAGGGUUGGGCUGUUCGCCCAUUAAAGCGGUACGUGAGCUGGGUUCAGAACGUCGUGAGACAGUUCGGUCCAUAUCCGGUGUAGGCGCAAGAACAUUGAGAGGAGUCUUCCUUAGUACGAGAGGACCGGGAAGAACGCACCGCUGGUGUACCUGUUAUCGUGCCAACGGUAAACGCAGGGUAGCCAAGUGCGGAGUGGAUAACCGCUGAAAGCAUCUAAGUGGGAAGCCCACCUCAAGAUGAGUGUUCUCAUGGAGUAAUCCAGUAAGGUCACGGGAAGACGACCCGUUGAUAGGCGGUAGGUGGAAGUUCAGCAAUGGAUGAAGCCGAGCCGUACUAACAGACCGAGGGCUUGACCGU